GGCUCAGUGGUGGAUGGUCUACACCCACACUCUGUGAACACAAGAUGUAAAGCCGGAGUACAAGUGGAUUCGAAGCUGGUUCGAUUCCGGCCUGAGCCA